UGUUCUAACGUGGACCCGUGAUCCGGGUUGCGGACAGUGUCUGGUGGGUAGUUUGACUGGGGCGGUCUCCUCCUAAAGAGUAACGGAGGAGCACGAAGGUUGGCUAAUCCUGGUCGGACAUCAGGAGGUUAGUGCAAUGGCAUAAGCCAGCUUGACUGCGAGCGUGACGGCGCGAGCAGGUGCGAAAGCAGGUCAUAGUGAUCCGGUGGUUCUGAAUGGAAGGGCCAUCGCUCAACGGAUAAAAGGUACUCCGGGGAUAACAGGCUGAUACCGCCCAAGAGUUCAUAUCGACGGCGGUGUUUGGCACCUCGAUGUCGGCUCAUCACAUCCUGGGGCUGAAGUAGGUCCCAAGGGUAUGGCUGUUCGCCAUUUAAAGUGGUACGCGAGCUGGGUUUAGAACGUCGUGAGACAGUUCGGUCCCUAUCUGCCGUGGGCGCUGGAGAACUGAGGGGGGCUGCUCCUAGUACGAGAGGACCGGAGUGGACGCAUCACUGGUGUUCGGGUUGUCAUGCCAAUGGCACUGCCCGGUAGCUAAAUGCGGAAGAGAUAAGUGCUGAAAGCAUCUAAGCACGAAACUUGCCCCGAGAUGAGUUCUCCCUGAGACUUAGAGUCUCCUGAAGGAACGUUGAAGACGACGACGUUGAUAGGCCGGGUGUGUAAGCGCAGCGAUGCGUUGAGCUAACCGGUACUAAUGAACCGUGAGGCUUAACCUU
rnacentral:rRNA from 1 species